UUUAAAUAGCACUCUUCCUGUCUGCUAUAAUCUGGAUUUCUGCCAACUGCUGCAUACGAUAGAUUAAAGGGAAUAUGAAUCAACAACAAAAAAGUUUUUUAAAGGUGUCCAGUCGGGGGCUAUUUGACUCAACCGGAAGCAAGGAUAGGCCACCUUAGAGGGCCCCUGAUACUGACCUGUAAAACCAGUGAGUUCGAUCUUGGUAGCCAUGGCAUGAAUUGGGUCUGACACGUCCACGGACAAGGGCUGGAGUGGCUGGUUUAUUAUUACAUCUAGCAAAAUCUAUGCCCUACUGAUUAAAGAGUGAUUUAUUGCAUCCAAAGACACUGCAAAACACAUCUUCACUUUGAACAUGAAAAGCCUGAAGAUCGAAGACAGCAGCAUCCAUUACUGUGCAAGAGACUGGGGUGGCUCGCCCCAUUACUGGGGACAAGGAACCGUAGUGACGGUGACUGCAGGUAUCUCUGGCCACGUUUUACAACGACAUAUCAACCGAAGAGUCAGCCUUUAGAAAACAACUGACAAUGUGGAUUAUAUGACUACGGCUACAUUCUGAAUUAAUUAAAAUAAUCUACUCGUCAACUCAC